rnacentral:rRNA from 1 species
UCGAACGGCAGCACGGGAGCAAUCCUGGUGGCGAGUGGCGAACGGGUGAGUAAUACAUCGGAACGUGCCCAGUAGUGGGGGAUAGCCCGGCGAAAGCCGGAUUAAUACCGCAUACGACCUACGGGUGAAAGCGGGGGAUCGCAAGACCUCGCGCUAUUGGAGCGGCCGAUGGCAGAUUAGCUUGCUGGUGGGGUAAAGGCCUACCAAGGCGACGAUCUGUAGCUGGUCUGAGAGGACGACCAGCCACACUGGGACUGAGACACGGCCCAGACUCCUACGGGAGGCAGCAGUGGGGAAUUUUGGACAAUGGGCGCAAGCCUGAUCCAGCCAUGCCGCGUGCGGGAAGAAGGCCUUCGGGUUGUAAACCGCUUUUGUCAGGGAAGAAACGCUCCGGGCCAAUACCCCGGAGUAAUGACGGUACCUGAAGAAUAAGCACCGGCUAACUACGUGCCAGCAGCCGCGGUAAUACGUAGGGUGCAAGCGUUAAUCGGAAUUACUGGGCGUAAAGCGUGCGCAGGCGGCUUUGCAAGACAGAUGUGAAAUCCCCGGGCUUAACCUGGGAACUGCACUUGUGACUGCAUGGCUGGAGUGCGGCAGAGGGGGAUGGAAUUCCGCGUGUAGCAGUGAAAUGCGUAGAUAUGCGGAGGAACACCGAUGGCGAAGGCAAUCCCCUGGGCCUGCACUGACGCUCAUGCACGAAAGCGUGGGGAGCAAACAGGAUUAGAUACCCUG